rnacentral:lncRNA from 10 species
UGCCUCGGCCUCCCGAAGUGCUGGGAUUACAAGCGUGAGCCACUGUGCCUGGCCUGGCAUUGGCAUUUUUAAAACUUUCUGUGUGAUUCUUGUGUGCAGCUGUAUCGAGACUGUCUGCAUCGAAGGCCCUGAUAGUCAGAGUGUGGUCCAUGGGAAGCUUGAUGGAAAUGCUGGAUCUCAGCGCCCUCCUCCCAGUUUGCUGAAUCAGAAUUUACAGUUCACCAAGAUGCCCCGGUGAUUCAGCCGCACACAGUUCCAGAAGCCCUGAGCUAGUUCGUACAGUGUUCUUUACCCACGCUCAUCUCCCUGGCCUGAAUCACAGCGUGUUUGACUUGCUCAAGUUGUAGCCAUGGCUCUCCGUGUUUUGACUGUGACCUACAGAAAGAAACGGACUUUACAACGAGGAAGCAAGUACACCACAGAAACAAUGCCUUCACUACCUGGGGUGCACUCUGCACUCCCAUUCAUUCAGCAGGUAGUUUUGGCACCUGCUUUGCGCCAGGCCUCAUUCUAGCUGCCUGUGUCUAGAAGCCCCGGUUGUUGGGAGGUUUCUAUUCUAGGAGGAGGGCAAGGGGAUCAGAAAGUUAAAAGUAAACCAUGUAUAUAAAGGGCACGCUAAAAGAUAUUUAUUAAAAUCUUUUUUUUUAAAUUACAUUUUUAGGGUAGGGUUCUGGGGUGCUGGUUAUGUUCCAUUUCUUGAUCUGGGUGCUGGGUGUAUUACCUGUAAGAAUGCAAGCUUUCAGCACUUCUCUGGA